GCCAGGGUGGCAUAGUGGUUAUUCCAUCUGCCUAGUGAGCAGCAGACCUGGGUUCAAAUCCCAGCUUUGGUA